GAUCGUGGCACAGGAUAAACGCUGGCGGCGCACAUAAGACAUGCAAGUCGAACGGAAGUCGUUACGAAAUGGAAUGAAGAUUUAUCUGAUUGAAGUUUUGUAACAAUGGCUUUAGUGGCGGACUGGUGAGUAACACGUAAGCAAUCUACCUAUUAGAGGGGAAUAACAAUGAGAAAUCAUUGCUAAUACCGCAUAAGCUUGUAGUACCGCAUGGUACAGCAAGAAAAGGAGCAAUCCG
rnacentral:rRNA from 1 species